AUCGAACGCUGGCGGCAGGCCUAACACAUGCAAGUCGAACGAGUGGCGGACGGGUGAGUAAUUUCUGGGAAACUGCCCGACGGAGGGGGAUAACUACUGGAAACGGUAGCUAAUACCGCAUACCAUCGGAUGUGCCCAGAGGGGAUUAGCGAGUAGGUGAGGUAACGGCUCACCUAGGCGACGAUCCCUAGCAGGUCUGAGAGGGUGACCAGCCACACUGGAACUGAGACACGGUCCAGACUCCUACGGGAGGCAGCAGUGGGGAAUAUUGCGCAAUGGGCGAAAGGCUGAUGCAGCCAUGCCGCGUGUAUGAAGAAGGCCUUCGGGUUGUAAAGGACUUUCAGCGGGGAGGCGUUACUCGCAGAAGAAGCACCGGCUAACUCCGUGCCAGCAGCCGCGGUAAUUC
rnacentral:rRNA from 1 species